rnacentral:rRNA from 1 species
GACGAACGCUGGCGGCGUGCUUAACACAUGCAAGUCGAACGGAAAGGCCCUGCUUGCAGGGUACUCGCGUGGCGAACGGGUGAGUAACACGUGGGUGUUCUGCCCUGCACUUCGGGAUAAGCCUGGGAAACUGGGUCUAUUACCGGAUAGGAGCCAUUUUUAGUGUGAUGGUUGGAAAGUUUUUUCGGUGUAGGAUGAGCUCGCGGCCUAUCAGCUUGUUGGUGGGGUAAUGGCCUACCAAGGCGGCGUCGGGUAGCCGGCCUGAGAGGGUGGACGGCCACAUUGGGACUGAGGUACGGCCCAGACUCCUACGGGAGGCAGCAGUGGGGAAUAUUGCACAAUGGGCGCAAGCCGGAUGCAGCGACGCCGCGUGGGGGAUGACGGCCUUCGGGUUGUAAACUCCUUUCGCUAGGGACGAAGCUUUUUGUGACGGUACCUAGAUAAGAAGCACCGGCUAACUACGUG